GACGAACGCUGGCGGCGUGCCUAAUACAUGCAAGUGGGACGCAAGAGGACACACUGUGCUUGCACACCGUGUUUUCUUGAGUCGCGAACGGGUGAGUAACGCGUAGGUAACCUGCCUAUUAGCGGGGGAUAACUAUUGGAAACGAUAGCUAAUACCGCAUAAUAUUAAUUAUUGCAUGAUAAUUGAUUGAAAGAUGCAAGCGCAUCACUAGUAGAUGGACCUGCGUUGUAUUAGCUAGUUGGUAAGGUAAGAGCUUACCAAGGCGACGAUUCAUAGCCGACCUGAGAGGGUGAUCGGCCACACUGGGACUGAGACACGGCCCAGACUCCUACGGGAGGCAGCAGUAGGGAAUCUUCGGCAAUGGACGAAAGUCUGACCGAGCAACGCCGCGUGAGUGAAGAAGGUUUUCGGAUCGUAAAGCUCUGUUGUAAGUCAAGAACGUGUGUGAGAGUGGAAAGUUCACACAGUGACGGUAGCUACCAGAAAG
rnacentral:rRNA from 1 species